CCUACGGGCGGCAGCAGUGGGGAAUAUUGGACAAUGGGGGAAACCCUGAUCCAGCGACGCCGCGUGAGGGAAGAAGUAUUUCGGUACGGAAAGCUCUAUCAGCAGGAAAGAAAAUGACGGUACCUGACUAAGAAGCCGCGGCUACCUACGUGCCAGCAGCCGCGGUAAUACGUAGGGGGCAAGCGUUAUCCGGAUUAACGGGGGGGAAAGGGAGCUUAGACGGCAGAGCAAGUCUGGAGUGAAAUGUCGGGGCCCAACCCCGGACCGGCUCUCGAAACUGUGAAGCUGGAGUUCAGGAGCGGUAAGCGAAAUUCCGUGUGUAGCGGUUAAAUGCAUAGAUCUCCGGAGGAACACCGGCGGCUAAGGCGGCUUACUGGACUGUAACUGACGUUGAGGCUCGAAGGCGUGGGGAGCAAACAGGAUUAGAUACCCCAGUAGUC
rnacentral:rRNA from 1 species